rnacentral:rRNA from 1 species
GAUGAACGCUGGCGGCGUGCCUAACACAUGCAAGUCGAACGGGCUUAAAAUGAAACCUAGUGAUUUUUAAGUUAGUGGCGGACGGGUGAGUAACGCGUGGAUAACCUGCCGUAUGCAGGGGGAUAACAGUUGGAAACAGCUGCUAAUACCGCAUAAGCGCACAGUGCCGCAUGGCACAGUGCGAAAAGAUUUAUCGGCAUACGAUGGAUCCGCGUCCGAUUAGCCAGUUGGCGGGGUAACGGCCCACCAAAGCGACGAUCGGUAGCCGGCCUGAGAGGGCGGACGGCCACAUUGGGACUGAGACACGGCCCAA